UACCAGCACCCCGAGUGGUCGGGACGUUUAUUGGGCCUAAAGCAUCCGUAGCCGGUUCUACAAGUCUUCCGUUAAAUCCACCUGCUUAACAGAUGGGCUGCGGAAGAUACUAUAGAGCUAGGAGGCGGGAGAGGCAAGCGGUACUCGAUGGGUAGGGGUAAAAUCCGUUGAUCCAUUGAAGACCACCAGUGGCGAAGGCGGCUUGCCAGAACGCGCUCGACGGUGAGGGAUGAAAAGCUGGGGGAG
rnacentral:rRNA from 1 species